rnacentral:rRNA from 1 species
ACGCACGCUGGCGGCGUGCUUAACACCUGCAAGUCGCACGGAAAGGCCCUGCUUUUGUGGGGUGCUCGAGUGGCGAACGGGUGAGUAACACGUGAGUAACCUGCCCUUGACUUUGGGAUAACUUCAGGAAACUGGGGCUAAUACCGGAUAGGAGCCCCUGCUGCAUGGUGGGGGUUGGAAAGUUUCGGCGGUUGGGGAUGGACUCGCGGCUUAUCAGCUUGUUGGUGGGGUAGUGGCUUACCAAGGCUUUGACGGGUAGCCGGCCUGAGAGGGUGACCGGCCACAUUGGGACUGAGAUACGGCCCAGACUCCUACGGGAGGCAGCAGUGGGGAAUAUUGCACAAUGGGCGGAAGCCUGAUGCAGCAACGCCGCGUGCGGGAUGACGGCCUUCGGGUUGUAAACCGCUUUCGCCUGUGACGAAGCGUGAGUGACGGUAAUGGGUAAAGAAGCACCGGCUAACUACGUG